rnacentral:rRNA from 1 species
GUGCCAGCCGCCGCGGUAAAACGUAGGGGGCAAACGUUGCUCGGAAUCACUGGGCGUAAAGCGCACGUAGGCGGUCCCGUAAGUCGGGUGUGAAAGCCCACGGCUCAACCGUGGAAACGCGUCCGAAACUGCGGGACUCGAGGACGGGAGGGGAGAGUGGAACUCCUGGUGGAGCGGUGAAAUGCGUAGAUAUCAGGAGGAACGCCGGCGGCGAAAGCGACUCUCUGGUCCGUCCCUGACGCUGAGGUGCGAAAGCUGGGGGAGCAAACGGGAUUAGAUACCCGAGUAGUCC